rnacentral:piRNA from 1 species
UGUCAGGUUAGGAAAAGGCAUGGUGGA